rnacentral:rRNA from 1 species
ACGAACGCUGGCGGCGUGCUUAACACAUGCAAGUCGAACGGAAAGGCCCUGCUUUUGUGGGGUGCUCGAGUGGCGAAUGGGUGAGUAACACGUGAGUAACCUGCCCUUGACUUUGGGAUAACUUCAGGAAACUGGGGCUAAUACCGGAUAGGAGCUCCUGCUGCAUGGUGGGGGUUGGAAAGUUUCGGCGGUUGGGGAUGGACUCGCGGCUUAUCAGCUUGUUGGUGGGGUAGUGGCCUACCAAGGCUUUGACGGGUAGCCGGCCUGAGAGGGUGACCGGCCACAUUGGGACUGAGAUACGGCCCAGACUCCUACGGGAGGCAGCAGUGGGGAAUAUUGCACAAUGGGCGGAAGCCUGAUGCAGCAACGCCGCGUGCGGGAUGACGGCCUUCGGGUUGUAAACCGCUUUCGCCUGUGACGAAGCGUGAGUGACGGUAAUGGGUAAAGAAGCACCGGCUAACUACGUG